UUCUCUGGAAAAGAUACUUCAACUCACAGGACUGCGAUGUUGAAACGGACACCCAAGAGCAUCACAGAUGGGCCAGGCCUGGACCUCUCGGGACAACAUUCCUCACGACUUUUAGAUAGAAGAGAUUAGAGAUUUGGGACUGGUGGCAACUGGUAACGUUUUCAGUGUUUGGUAAACAGCCAGGGUCCGGAGCUCUGGGAACAGCCUGAUUUAGCUCUUUGUUUAAGUUUUGUGUUAGAGGCUCCCAAGAAGCUGAUGCAGGGGAAAGAAAUUAACAACCAUGGCUCAUUCACAGCCAGGCAGCCAAAUGGACAGCUCUAUAAGACUCAAGCCGACAGCGGAGAGAGUGCAACCAAACAGCCUUGGCCCAGCUUUCAGAGGAGAACGUUAUUCACCCCAACUGCUCUGCAUCUGCCUGGAUGUCUGCCAAGAUCUGUGAGCAUUACAGCGUUGCAGUCUUCUUUCCACCAAUGACCCCUCGCGCUGCUUCCAGAAGCCAAGAAAGUGGGCUUUGUCCUUGGGGAUUUAGGAGGCGGAGCGGCGCCCCCUUGAGGCCACAUGGUGGAGGCAGCGAUGAGACCUGGAGUCUAAAAUUCAGACUGAAUCACAGGAAGAAGCUAUUUACACAAGUCAAACAUGGUCCAAUCUUGGCAAUUUCAUAAGGUUCCAAUCCUUAAGGGAUCAAAACCUGGCCAACUGCUUCCACCGAGAGGUGUGCCUUUCAAUGCCAGGCUUGGAGUGUCCCUCUUUAUUUAAAAAGGAGAGGAUUCCACAGCAGAGCUUCUCAAACUCUUCCACCCAAAUCCCCUCACCACAGAGGGACAGGAGUCCUGGGCAUGUAGCCUAAAGCAGCCAGGAGAAAAAAACCUUGACCUUAAUUUUUUUAAUGAUUUCACAUGAAUCAGUGGAAUGUGUUUAUGAUAAAAUCAUCUCCUCCUGAAAUACAUGUGUAAAACUGCUGCCCCAGUUAAACGCACUUAGUCUAACCAAGCCCUAGGAUUGGCCUCUCCAGCAUGAGAAGCAUUUCCAGCACUCCAGCUCCCCAGCUCCCACUCUGGGAUCCCACCUCAGACCCUCCCACUUCCUUGCACUCUGGCCUCUCGCUCUUGACCCUGCUCCCGCCACGCUCUUUCCUCAGAGUCCAUCAGUCCUGUCUUGUCUUCACCUUGGUCUCUGCCAAGUGUGGGUCCAAGUCAUAUAUUUGGGCUGUGAUCACAGGAACCCCAAGCCCCAGACCUCCCAAAGCACCCUAUGGAGAGACCUUACCCUCCUGGACAGACCCUCUCCCCCCAGCUAGACCUCAUCCUCUGGGUAGACCCAUCUCCCCAACCAGAACUCACCCUCCUGAGUAAACCCCAUCCCCCUAGCUAGACUUCAUCCUCCUGGACAGAUCCCAUCCCCCCAGCUAGACCUCACCCUCUUGGGUAGAUGCAUCUCCCCAACCAGAACUCUCCUGGGUAGACCCCUUCUACCCAGCUAGACCUGAUCCUCUGGACAGACCCCAUCAUCCCAGCUAGACUUCUCCCUCCUGGACUGUCCCCAUCCCCCCUCCAGCCAGACCUCACCCCUCUGGGUAGACCCCAUCCCCCCAACUAGACCUCACCCUCCUGGAUGGACUCUACCCUCCUGGAGAUACCUUCCCCUCCUGGGUACAUCCCACGUGGCUACACACUCCUUCCCCUGUCAGCUUUCUCCCCCAGGGUUCUGGGCAGCAGAGUCUGUGAUAAAGGAUACUAAGUGAUUCCCCAAUACUUCCCGUUUCCAGCCUCCAGUGGGCUCUCCCUGGGGCUAACGGUUCUUUUUGCUAUUUCUCCAGGCUUUGCCUGAUGACAAGUAUACUCUGAGAGUGUCCUAAUGAUACAGAUUUUGGACCCUAUCCCAGUUCUACUGAAUCCAAGUCUCUGGGGGAGGAGUUGGGGCUCUGCAUCUGGACACCUUCCUGCAGGGUCCCUCCUGGGAGGCAAGCCCGGGGAGCACCGCUGAGGCUCGCCUCAGUGCCCAUCCUAGACCUUCAGCAGCUAGCAGAGGAUGUCCCCACCAUCCCUCAGCCCACACUCCCACUGUCGCCCCAGCCAGGCUUGGCACUGCCUCCUUUCUCAGAAGAUUAAGACCAUCUGCUGUUUCCCAAGUUUCCCACCCUCCACCCUAAAAAUUUCUCCGUUUCCCAGUCUUUCCUCGUCUCUCAGAAAAUAAACAUCUUCCCAGGCUGCCUCCCCAGUGGGUCUGCACUCCUUGCUGUCUUCCCAGCACCUGCCCUUCCAGCCCGCCCUCUGUGUGUCCAGUGUUUCCCUCACCAAAGGACUCGCUUUGUUUUUCAAAUUGGAGGUUUUGUCUUCUCCCUAAAAACCAAAACAUCUCCCUGAGAAGUAACUCCCUCAAGCUACUGAUACGGAAGGGGGGCGGGGAAGUGCUGGGAAGGGAAGGGUGUGGUCCCUGGCUAGGGCUCCACCCCCGGGCCUGUGCCCACAGACCUAGGUGAGGACAGGCAUUUCUGUUUUCGUGCUUAAAUGUUGGAUUUCCCAAGACUACCCUGGCCUACCACACCCUCAUUCUGUGCCUGUAAAAAAACCUGAGAGCUUAGCAGGCACGCACACAAGCCUCUGGACGUCAAGAGGAACACACCGGUGUAAGAGCAGACUGAUAGUGGCCCACGGCAGGCUGGCAGGCCAUCGACAGGCAGAACCACUCAGUGCAGCUGGAGGACAGCCUGGCCACGGAGCGGUCCGACUUCAGAGGGGAAAACCACCUCCCCACUCCGUCUCCCUUCUGGCUCCCCCAUCUGAGAGCUACUUCCACUCAAUAAAAC
rnacentral:lncRNA from 1 species